UACGUAGGGGGCAAGCGUUGUCCGGAAUUAUUGGGCGUAAAGAGCUCGUAGGCGGUCUGUCACGUCGGAUGUGAAGGCCCGGGGCUUAACCCCGGGUCUGCAUUCGAUACGGGCAGACUAGAGUGUGGUAGGGGAGAUCGAAUUCCUGGUGUAGCGGUGAAAUGCGCAGAUAUCAGGAGGAACACCGGUGGCGAAGGCGGAUCUCUGGGCCAUUACUGACGCUGGAGGAGCGAAAGCAUGGGG
rnacentral:rRNA from 1 species